CUUAGUAUCAGACACCGUUCUAAGCUUUUUAUAUGAUUUAACUCAUUAACCUUCACUAUAAAGUAAAAACACAUGGCCUGUAUCACUCAUUCAGAAAUUACAAAGUGAGCACCUGUUAAAGUGCCAAGUAUUAGGAUGAAUGAAACAAAGUCCUGGUCUUUCUAAAGCGUGAGAUAUGGAGAGGAAAAUAGAUGGCAAUCUUCCAGGCAGUUACUACACAGGUUUAUCUCAUUAUGUAUUUGUCUUUGUUUUUUCACCUGAGUAAUCUAAUCUCUUUGAUCCAGUUGCCUGCUUGUUAAGAAUAAAGGGCAAUUCUCUCAUUGCAAGACAAAUAAGUGCCAGUAAUUGAUGACAGGUGGAGGAAUGGAAACAUGUUCCGACUGGGCCUAUCAGGGUCUGAAAUAGAGCCCCAGAAGGGACUGAACCACACGUCUCCAGGAUUCUUCUCCCAGUGUCAUCAAUUGGAGAGAGGAGUCAAGCCUCCAUGGGAAUUCACACAGAGAAACUAGACAACAGCGGAAGGUGCCCUGCUCCAGCUGCAGGGACUCAGCCAGAAAGACUGGAAUACUACAUGACUCUACCUGCAAGUUGGGGAAGGAGAACUCAACACUAUU